UGGCUCCAGCAGGGCUGAUCCGGGAUCUCGAUGCUGUAAUCCAGCUCGGCCGAGGCCAUGGUGAAGGUGCGGGUCUUCAGCACAGGCCUCCCGCCGGAACUCCCGCAGUUUCACCUCGGCGGGGCCGGGACGCCGCCGGGCCACGCCCCUCCCCGCCCACGCCCAGCGCUGUCCAAUCCCCGAGCCGCACUCUGUGACCUCCCUGCCUAGCAACCAGGGAGUCGCUUCGCGCCUCGGGCGGCACCCACUAGCCCGGCCCUAGCAACCGCGCCCCGCCCCUACUGUCUUUGGGCCCCAGCAAUUGGCUGACUCUCUUGAUCUUGGAUCAAGUAUUGGUCAGUGGGGCAGCGCUCUCGGAGCGACCGCACCCUCCUGUGAAGGUUGGUCCACACUUGUCCCGUCCCCCCCACCUCACCCGGGCCCCCAGUUCUAGAAGCUGAUUGGACCUUGUGAUGUCUUCCUGAACCUGCGUGGUGCCCUUCCCAGGAGCACAGACCCAGUGUCCUCUGGGGAGUAGUGGAGUCACCCACGGGAUUGGCUAGCCAUGACCUCUGUAAAGGAGCAGGCAGCCAUCAGCCGGCUCCUUAGUUUUCUGCAGGAGUGGGACAACGCCGGCAAAGGCCUCCGAAAUCAGAUUCUCACCACGUUCAUCAAAACCAACGAAGGCAAGACUGGCCCCGAGCUGGAGCUGGAGUUUUCCCAGGGAGCCAGUUUGUUCCUCAUACGAGUGACCACCUGGCUUAGAAUCAUCUAUAUGACCGGCUUGGAACUAGAAAAGAUCCUGAGGUCCAUUGGCAUCUUCUUAUCUGCUGUGAGCAGUAAUCGGUACCUGCUUGAAUUUCUUGAGAUUGGAGGUGUCCUAACGCUCUUGGAAAUACUUGGCGUAGAGAAGAUCAACGAAGAGGACAAAAAGGAAUCCAUCAAACUACUUCAGAUUAUUGCAAACACUGGCAGAAAGUACAAGGAGCUCAUCUGUGAAAGCUACGGUGUGAGAGCCAUAGCAGAAUUUCUGGCAAAGUCUAAAUCAGAAGAGACCCAGGAGGAAGUGCAGGUUCUGCUGGAAACGUUGGUUCAUGGCAAUCCCAAGUACCAGAACCAAGUAUACAAAGGCCUGAUAGCUCUGCUGCCCUGUGAGUCCCCGAAAGCCCAGCGACUGGCCCUGCAGACUCUCAAGACUGCCCAGUCAAUAGUUGGAGCGACACACCCCAGCAUCGUGGACCGUGUGCUGACAGUCCUGAGCACAGUGCACCUGGAGGUCCAGUAUGAAGCCAUCGAGCUGAUAAAGGACCUGAUCCACUACGACGUGCGCUUGCCUCUGCUCAAGGGCCUUGUGGCGCUGCUCAUGCCACCAGUCAAGGAGACAUCCAAACUGCAGGCCAAGAUCUUCAGUGACUCUUCGAUUCUCCAGACCACAACCCAGUUACCCGUGUUCCUGCAGCAGGCUGCAGCUGCCAAGACCAUUGGGAUCCUGGCACGCAAUGACUUGAACUUGGCAGUGGAGCUGCUGAACCUGCGUGUGGUCCAUGGCCUGAUGUCGGCCAUGGGUAACACUGACCACAGCAAUAGCCAGAGGCUAGCCAGCCUCACACUGGAGUACUUUGUGCAAAUGUUCCCAUUGGUGGAGGAACAGGUCCGCAAGUCCAUGGGGGACGAACUCUACCAGCUCUUCCUUCCAGUAAGCUGGAAGCAGGAUCUCUCUGCCUAAGCAGCUCUGCUCGAGAAUGACGCCGAGAUCCUGUACACAAAAAUAGACAGUAUUCAGGCGGACAUUUUGGCAGCCAAUAAAGUCAAUGCUACCACAGACAGCUGCGAGUGCAUUGACAACAGCUCCAUCAGCUUCUCCACGGGCUCCAAUGAUAUGAAUCAGAGGGGCUACACCAAUGACUUUGAGAAACUUCAUUCAAAGUCCAAGGAGUGACAGAGCCCUGUGACAAACCAGGAAAGCUAAGGUUGUGCCUUGUGGAAGCCUGCCUGACUGCCAGGAGGGUGGCAUUGAGGAUGGUGCCAUCUGGCCCUGGGUGGGAAGCUGAGUAUUAUAAAAUGCAGGGGGGAAGGGGGAAGCUGUUUCUGCAGAAGGGCCUAAUAAAGAGUCUUGAUGCUAUCCGCA